rnacentral:rRNA from 1 species
GACGUAGGGGGUGAGCGUUCUCCGGAUUUACUGGGCGUAAAGCGCAUGCAGGCGGUCCAGCAAGUCUCUGCUGACAAUCCUCAGCUUAACUGAGGAAGGCGUAGGGAAACUGCUGAACUUGAGUCACCAAGAGGCAGAGGGAAUUCCGUGUGGAGCAGUGAAAUGCGUAGAGAUGCGGAGGAACACCAGAGGCGAAGGCGCUCUGCUGGGGGUGUACUGACGCUCAGAUGCGAAAGCCAGGGGAG